rnacentral:rRNA from 1 species
UACGUAGGGCGCAAGCGUUAUCCGGAAUUAUUGGGCGUAAAGAGCUCGUAGGCGGUUUGUCGCGUCUGCCGUGAAAGUCCGGGGCUCAACUCCGGAUCUGCGGUGGGUACGGGCAGACUAGAGUGAUGUAGGGGAGACUGGAAUUCCUGGUGUAGCGGUGAAAUGCGCAGAUAUCAGGAGGAACACCGAUGGCGAAGGCAGGUCUCUUGGCAUUAACUGACGCUGAGGAGCGAAAGCAUGGGGAGCGAACAGG